AUUGAACGCUGGCGGCAUGCCUUACACAUGCAAGUCGAACGGUAACAGGUUAAGCUGACGAGUGGCGAACGGGUGAGUAAUGUAUCGGAACGUGCCCAGUCGUGGGGGAUAACUACUCGAAAGAGUGGCUAAUACCGCAUCCGACCUGAGGGUGAAAGCGGGGGACCGUAAGGCCUCGCGCGAUUGGAGCGGCCGAUAUCAGAUUAGCGAGUUGGUGGGGUAAAAGCCCACCAAGGCGACGAUCUGUAGCUGGUCUGAGAGGACGACCAGCCACACUGGGACUGAGACGCGGCCCAGACUCCUACGGGAGGCAGCAGUGAGGAAUUGUGGACAAUGGACGCAAGUCUGAUCCAGCCAUGCCGCGUGCGGGAAGAAGGCCUUCGGGUUGUAAACCGCUUUUGUCAGGGAAGAAACGAGUUUCUCUAAUACAGAGACUUAAUGACGGUACCUGAAGAAUAAGCACCGGCUAACUACGUGCAGCAGCCGCCGUAAUAC
rnacentral:rRNA from 1 species